CGCGUGGACCUGUCCGCACGCCGACUACGCUACCAAGUCACCAACCGAUCUACUGCGUGUGUGGAACGAGUCCGCCAAGAAUGAUGGCCAGCACGAUGAUUGAUGUGGAGAUGAAGUGUUGAAGGGAAAAGCCUGGAGGUUUCUACAUGAGACCAGCAGUCCCACUGGCCCCGGCGAGUGGACAACGUGACCGAACACAGCCUCCAAGACCGGC